rnacentral:misc_RNA from 1 species
UUAGGCAGCGACAUCCGCUUGUUCAUUCUCGCUCAGGACUUGCCCAAGAGCUUGAUGCCUUGGCUCUUUUUGGUACACUGUGUUGCAUGCCAACAUUGAUGGAAUUUUGAUGGUGUCGUUUGUCCCUAAUUUCACCUUGUGCUGCUCAUGUGGUGCGGGGUGAACAAUGCAGUGCCUCGUGAUGCCCUGACUGUAGGCACUUCAUGUGCUGUCGGUUUGGGCGACACGGGAAACUCGAACUCUCGGAUACAGAACGUAAAGUUGUGCGUAUGGGGUCUAGCACUCUGUAAGCCCAGAUUGAGCGCUCUCUCGCCAACGAUGUUGUUCUUCCAGGGUUUCCAACUGUCAGGAAAGCUGGAAAGCCGUUGUUGGGCAGAGAGUGUCGAAAAAGACAGACUGUUGAACCUCGUUCCGUAGGGGUCUAGAGGCGUACGAGAGUAUGACCGAAGGCUGCUCGGGCGGGGGUACUUCGACAUGUUUGCCAAGGAAUGCUACCUGG